rnacentral:rRNA from 1 species
GAUGAACGCUGGCGGCGUGCCUAAUACAUGCAAGUCGAGCGAACAGACGAGGAUUUUGCUCCUCUGACGUUGGCGGCGGACGGGUGAGUAACAGGUGGAUAACCGACCUAUAAGACUGGGAUAACGUCGGGAAACCGGAGCUAAUACCGGAGAAUAUAUUGAACCGCAUGGUUCAAUAGUGAAAGAGGGUUUUGCUGUCCCUUAGAGAUGGAUGCUCGUCGCAUUAGCUAGUUGGUAAGGUAACGGCUUACCAAGGCAACGAUGCGUAGCCGACCUGAGAGGCUGAUCGGCCACCCUGGAACUGAGACACGGUCCAGACUCCUACGGCAGGCCGCAGUAGGGAAUCUUACGCAAUGGGCGAAAGCCUGACGGAGCGACGCCGCGUGAGUGAUGAAGGUCUUCGGAUCGUAAAGCUCUCUUACUAGGGAAGAACAAAUGUGUAAGUAACUAUACACGUCUUGACGGUACCUAAUCAGAAAGCCACGGCUAACUACGUG